rnacentral:tRNA from 1 species
AGGAGAAUAGUUCAAUUGGUAGAGCAACGGUCUCCAAAGCCGUAAGUUAAGGGUUCGAGUCCCUUUUCUCCUG